GCGGAUGUAGCUCAGUUGGUAGAGCACCUGGUUGUGGCCCUGGUUGCCGUGGGUUCAAUCCCCAUCAUUCGCC
rnacentral:tRNA from 1 species